rnacentral:rRNA from 1 species
GACGAGUGGCGGACGGGUGAGUAACGCGUAGGAAUCUACCUUAUAGUGGGGGAUAACCUGGGGAAACCCAGGCUAAUACCGCAUGUUUCUCAAGAGAUAAAGCAGGGGACCUUCGGGCCUUGCGCUAUAAGAUGAGCCUGCGUCGGAUUAGCUAGUUGGUGGGGUAAAGGCCUACCAAGGCGACGAUCCGUAGCUGGUCUGAGAGGACGACCAGCCACACUGGGACUGAGACACGGCCCAGACUCCUACGGGAGGCAGCAGUGGGGAAUAUUGGACAAUGGGCGCAAGCCUGAUCCAGCAAUGCCGCGUGUGUGAAGAAGGCCUUCGGGUUGUAAAGCACUUUCAGUAGGGAGGAAGGACUUAAUCUUAAUACGGUUAAGUAUUGACGUUACCUACAGAAGAAGCACCGGCUAACUCUGUGCCAGCAGCCGCGGUAAUACAGAGGGUGCGAGCGUUAAUCGGAAUUACUGGGCGUAAAGAGUGCGUAGGUGGUUUAAUAAGUCAGAUGUGAAAUCCCCGGGCUCAACCUGGGAACUGCAUUUGAAA